ACCUACGGGAGGCAGCAGUGGGGAAUUUUGGACAAUGGGCGCAAGCCUGAUCCAGCCAUGCCGCGUGCAGGAUGAAGGCCUUCGGGUUGUAAACUGCUUUUGUACGGAACGAAAAGACUCUGGUUAAUACCUGGGGUCCAUGACGGUACCGUAAGAAUAAGCACCGGCUAACUACGUGCCAGCAGCCGCGGUAAUACGUAGGGUGCAAGCGUUAAUCGGAAUUACUGGGCGUAAAGCGUGCGCAGGCGGUUAUGUAAGACAGAGGUGGAAUCCCCGGGCUCAACCUGGGAACUGCCUUUGUGACUGCAUAGCUGGAGUACGGCAGAGGGGGAUGGAAUUCCGCGUGUAGCAGUGAAAUGCGUAGAUAUGCGGAGGAACACCGAUGGCGAAGGCAAUCCCCUGGGCCUGUACUGACGCUCAUGCACGAAAGCGUGGGGAGCAAACAGGAUUAGAUACCCCGGUAGUCC
rnacentral:rRNA from 1 species